AGUGAACGCUGGCGGUAGGCCUAACACAUGCAAGUCGAACGGCAGCACAGUAAGAGCUUGCUCUUACGGGUGGCGAGUGGCGGACGGGUGAGGAAUACAUCGGAAUCUACUUUUUCGUGGGGGAUAACGUAGGGAAACUUACGCUAAUACCGCAUAUUACCUACGGGUGAAAGCAGGGGAUCUUCGGACCUUGCGUGAUUGAAUGAGCCGAUGUCGGAUUAGCUAGUUGGCGGGGUAAAGGCCCACCAAGGCGACGAUCCGUAGCUGGUCUGAGAGGAUGAUCAGCCACACUGGAACUGAGACACGGUCCAGACUCCUACGGGAGGCAGCAGUGGGGAAUAUUGGACAAUGGGCGCAAGCCUGAUCCAGCCAUACCGCGUGGGUGAAGAAGGCCUUCGGGUUGUAAAGCCCUUUUGUUGGGAAAGAAAAGCAGCAGGUUAAUACCCCGCUGUUCUGACGGUACCCAAAGAAUAAGCACCGGCUAACUUCGUG
rnacentral:rRNA from 1 species